CUUGCUUCGGGUGUUGGAAUUGGGGUCCGUGAUGCACAGAAGGUGCCUGCAGCCACUGUUCAGCUGGGCUCAGGAUGACUGCUUGGUGAAUGCAGCCUCUGGUGUAGCAUUGAGGGUCUUGAUUUUAACUGGAGGGAUGGUGUGGAGUCGUGGAUAGAACUGAGAUUUGGGCUCUCGUCUGGAAUCCCAGCUCUGACCCCCACAAUCUCUGGGAUGUUCGCUCUUUGUGCCUCUUUUCUUCAUCUGAAAAGUGAGGGUGAUAGUUCUCCUAGGGAGGUGUAUAGACAGGGUUCCCCAUCAUGUAAGCUCAGGGAGAAAAAGGUUUUAUUUUUUCCUGACUGAAGGCCCAUGCCUGGAACAGUAUCCUGCCUGUGGUAAGCACACAGCAAGCGCCUAUUAUUGAAAGGAGAUAAAAUAUGGGGAGAGCCUGCCACGUGAUCAAUUCUCAUCACGUAGUGAUACAUAGAUAAAUUAGAUGCACACACACACAUACACUGAUAUAUAGAUCAAUUCUCAUUAUUCUCCUAUCACUGUGCCUGUUCUAAACCAGGAAUCAGCACACUAUGGCUCACACACCAAGGCUGGCCCACCACUUGCUUUUGGAAAUAAAGUUUUAUCGCAACACAGCUACAUGCAUUCAUUUAUAUACUGUCCAGGACUGCUUUCCUGCUGCAGUGGUGGACUUGAGCAGGUGUGAGAGAAACAUGUAGCCCGCAAAGCUGAAAAUAUAUACUCUCUGGUUUUUUACAGCUAAUCUUUGUGGCUCUUGCUCUGCAAUCAAGGUAUCCUUGUCGUUCGGUGACCACAGAUUUCAUUUUCCCCUGAUGGCAGGAGGACAGAACCGUCCAGGUUCCCAGGUUCCUAAGCCCCUGUGAGGGGACCACCCAGGAGCCAUGGAAGGCUGAGUUCACCAAGGCAUGUGCAUCCUUGUGACUGGGACUGGAGCCCAGCUCUGAGCUGGCAAAGAAAGUUUGCUGACUCCUGGUCCAGAUGGUCUUGCAGGAUGAGCAGCGGUGCUGACUGUGUGCCAGGCACCCUUCUAAGGCUGAAAGCGCACAGACUCAUCUCAUCUCUCUUGUCAGCACCGAAGCAGAUCCUGCCACCCAAGCAGCCAGGCCAGCCUCAUUUCUGCAGCUGCCACACGCACCUCUGAACCCCUGGAUGUACAGCGUGGACUGCAGACCAGCUGCGGCACCUUUACUGUGACCUCUAUGCUGAUUUCUGUCACCACAGAUUUGUUCCCCUGUUCGAGAACUCAGGAAUGAAGUUUUGCUUUUCUACAUCUGGCUUUUUUCACUCUGUGUUGUGUUCCUGACAUUUAUCCAGGCUCAGCUCAGACGGUACCAGCUUGAAGAAGCCUUCAUCAAUUAGUCAAAUGAAUAUUCAACUUGACCUUGUUUUGGACCAGAGGCAUACACACACCUCUGUGUCUAUCCCUGUGGCCCAGCACUUGUCAUGGCCUGUGUAGACUCUCAAGGCCUCUGUCCACAUCUGUCUCUCCCUGCAGAAUAUGAGAGUCAAGAGCCAAGACCAUGUGAUAUCCUUUACUAGCCCCUUCUUUACUUGUAAGACUGAGUCUAGCAGUCUUCCUGUGACAUGCAAAGCCCUCUUCAAGGUGACCCUGGCAUCGAUUUAAAUCCUGGUUCUGCCACUUGUGGGAUCUGCGCUUUGGGAAAUUCUCAGCUUCACUGUACUUCAGUUUUCCCAUCUGUACAGUGGGGCCAAUUAUCUUGUGCAUAUUCAAUGAAACAAUGCACCUAAAGCUGUUUGAAGCACGCCAAGCACAUGGAAAAUGCUCAAGAAAUGCUAACCAGCUUUCUGUUGUCAUAAUUACUAUUUCUUCCUUGCAACCAUUGCACAUUCCAGCCGCAGCAAAUUAAUUCCUGGCUAAAAGCUGUGAUGGUCUUGCAUGCCCCUUUGCUUUUUACUGAAUAUUCCUUCUGCUUGUAGUUCCCUGCUCCUCACCUAUUCAUUCAUUUAAUGAAGUUUUUGCUGAACUCAUCCUAUACUCUAAUCUCAUACAGCUUUUUCUGGCCUUUCACAUUAAAUUCACUGCUCCUGUUAUGAAGGUUUGUUUAUUUUUCCGUAUCUCUGUGAAUAAUUUGAGAGCAGAAAAAGUUCCCUCUUUCCCUUUCCUACUGGGUUUACUGCUCUGAACGCAGUUCCUAAUAUCAUGGCUGGCACAUAGUAGGAGUUUAUGAAAUAUUUGUUUAAUGAAUACAUGAAUGCUGCUUAUCUCUGAAUCUGUCUCCAGUGCCUAGCAUAUCAUGAGUGCUUACCCAAGACUCUCUCUUCCAUAAAACUCUGGAUUCAUAUCACCUAAGAGUCCUAGGUGGUGGAGGACUAUUUUUAAUCAGUAUAUCUGUACUUAGCCUCUUUCUGAACCAGAGGGCUUUCCCUGGUCCUGCGGCCAAGCUUAAAAUGUCUGGUGGGGUUCUCCUCUGCAAAGUACAGGAGGACGUAUGUGCAUCUGUGUUGCUUGGGUCAUCCCUGGAUUCAUCAGACUUAUCAACUCUCAUCUUUACUGACCCAGUUCAGAGUUUGUCUCAUGGUCCCCUGGAAUCCAAAGGCCUAGAUCAAUGCCUGGAAGUCAAGUCAGGAGAGAGAAAGAGACAGAGAGAGACACACACACAGAGAGAGAGAGACAGAGAGAGAGAG